CAGCAUGGUCUUAGCUUGCUAAGGCCGAUGGCGACCGGCGCACGGGUGAGUAACACGUAUCCCCUUUGCCGUCUACUCUUGGACAGCCUUCUGAAAGGAAGAUUAAUACAAGAUGGCAUCAUGAGUCCGCAUGUUCACAUGAUUAAAGGUAUUCCGGUAGACGAUGGGGAUGCGUUCCAUUAGAUAGUAGGCGGGGUAACGGCCCACCUAGUCUUCGAUGGAUAGGGGUUCUGAGAGGAAGGUCCCCCACAUUGGAACUGAGACACGGUCCAAACUCCUACGGGAGGCAGCAGUGAGGAAUAUUGGUCAAUGGGCGAGAGCCUGAACCAGCCAAGUAGCGUGAAGGAUGACUGCCCUAUGGGUUGUAAACUUCUUUUAUAAAGGAAUAAAGUCGGGUAUGGAUACCCGUUUGCAUGUACUUUAUGAAUAAGGAUCGGCUAACUCCGUGCCAGCAGCCGCGGUAAUACGGAGGAUCCGAGCGUUAUCCGGAUUUAUUGGGUUUAAAGGGAGCGUAGAUGGAUGUUUAAGUCAGUUGUGAAAGUUUGCGGCUCAACCGUAAAAUUGCAGUUGAUACUGGAUAUCUUGAGUGCAGUUGAGGCAGGCGGAAUUCGUGGUGUAGCGGUGAAAUGCUUAGAUAUCACGAAGAACUCCGAUUG
rnacentral:rRNA from 1 species